UUCGUCAUAUUGGGAAAUGGAUCAGCACCAAAAAUUGUAUGCACUGUUUGGCGGUGCCGUGCAUUACGCACCCGGAGCGACGAAGGAUGAUCCGCUGAAAAAGUGCGGUAAUUGCAAUGCGAAGUUCAGGGGAAAUAACUGCCCCGUUCCGAAUUGCCCGAACAUUUCCGCUCCGGUUUUCGAGAUUCCAGCUACCACACCAGACCGUACCGAAGGAGAUGAUCCCGACGCAACUGUUCUUUGUCCACAUUUUUCGGUGCCUGCAACACAGAAUGAGUCGUCGGACAUGUUCGCCGAUUUUUACGAAGAUCCUGACGUUACGGUGAGCCAGCAUGGAGACGAAUUACGGCAGUGAUUACAGCUGUUUACGCCUCUUAAAGCCAUGUUAGAUGAGGUGAGGGAAUUUUUUUUUCUAAACCCGAAUGUGGACGCACGCUACAAAGAACACUUCGAUGAUUUGCUCUUCGCUGCUCGGGAACCUCCUCCUCAAGUUCGUCCUUCUUCCCUUCUUCCAUUUUCCCACCCAAUAUAUCACCCAUUCCAUUUCCCACUCCUUCCAUUUUCCCACCCAACAUAUCACCCAUUCCAUCUCCCACUCCUUCCAUUUUCCCACCCAACGUAUCACCCAUUCCAUCUCCCACUCCUUUCAUUUUCCCACCCAACAUAUCACCCAUUCCAUCUCCCACUCCUUCCAUUUUCCCACCCAAUAUAUCACCAAUUCCUAAUCCAACCAAGCCUGCGAUGGGCAAUCAGACAUGCACCAUAUGCGGAAUCGUCAUCAAAAGUUGCUAUCGGUCACAAUUGCUGCAACAUAUGAAGACCCACGAGCCUCGAACACCGUGUGGGGUGUGUGGAAAGCAGCUGGCCAAUCGAAGUGUCGCAGCUCAUUCCAAGACAUGCCAGCCGACUAACCGUUCUCGCCAUAUUUGUACCGUCUGUGGCAACAGUUACGGCAAAUCGAGAAGCCUGAAGGCCCACACAAAAUCAUCACAUCCGACCCUAUAAGCCGUUUUCCAGCCGUGCCUGUGUACAAUCAGUUUAUUCAACAGGCGAUAAAAGCCUUACGUGUGUGGCACAUGUGGAGAUAGAUUCAUCCAAGGAACAGCGUUGCAAACACACCGUCGUUUACAGGGACAUUCCGAAGAGAAUCAACCAGCAUCAGUGUGAACAAUCCGAAUCGGUACACCAAUGCCAAUCGAGUGAAUCGCAUCGGCACCGUUGGCCUUAACAUUGACGAAUUGAUCAAACAGGAGAAGUCUACCGUUAAUUUCGCAGCAACUAUGCAUGUCGAACCGCAUAUUUUGUCCGUUACAUUAUUCUGUUCCACCGUGUGAUUGAAUUCCGAUUUUGUCUCACAAAGCUAUUGCAAUAAAAUGGGAAAGAAAUUACAAAA